UGAAAUUGAAAGAGAGGUUAGGUGGAGAGAAGAGAGAAAGGUUUAGAAGAUGAGUCGCCAUUAGCGGGUGGUGCAAACGUGAACCACUGAAAUUAUCUGUUACUCCAUAAUAAAGGUUUGAGAUAUGAUAUGAUAUUCUCUCCGUUAAAGUUAAUAUUAGAGGUGAAAGUUAGAUACCGGUAAUCUGGUACAGAGCCGUGAUAUUCACGGGACUUGUUUUAUUACACUAAACACCGGCACGUUUUCCUCCUUACAAUAAUCUGGCGGCAUCAAUUUU
rnacentral:lncRNA from 1 species